rnacentral:rRNA from 1 species
AUUGAACGCUGGCGGCAGGCUUAACACAUGCAAGUCGAGCGGGGAAGGGUAGCUUGCUACCUGACCUAGCGGCGGACGGGUGAGUAAUGCUUAGGAAUCUGCCUAUUAGUGGGGGACAACAUUCCGAAAGGAAUGCUAAUACCGCAUACGCCCUACGGGGGAAAGCAGGGGAUCUUCGGACCUUGCGCUAAUAGAUGAGCCUAAGUCAGAUUAGCUAGUUGGUGGGGUAAAGGCCUACCAAGGCGACGAUCUGUAGCGGGUCUGAGAGGAUGAUCCGCCACACUGGGACUGAGACACGGCCCAGACUCCUACGGGAGGCAGCAGUGGGGAAUAUUGGACAAUGGGCGCAAGCCUGAUCCAGCCAUGCCGCGUGUGUGAAGAAGGCCUUUUGGUUGCAAAGCACUUUAAGCGAGGAGGAGGCUACUUGGAUUAAUACUCUAGGAUAGUGGACGUUACUCGCAGAAUAAGCACCGGCUAACUCUGUGCCAGCAGCCGCGGUAAUACAGAGGGUGCGAGCGUUAAUCGGAUUUACUGGGCGUAAAGCGUGCGUAGGCGGCUUUUUAAGUCGGAUGUGAAAUCCCUGAGCUUAACUUAGGAAUUGCAUUCGAUACUGGGAAGCUAGAGUAUGGGGGAGGAUGGUAGAAUUCCAGGUGUAGCGGUGAAAUGCGUAGAGAUCUGGAGGAAUACCGAUGGCGAAGGCAGCCAUCUGGCCUAAUACUGACGCUGAGGUACGAAAGCAUGGGGAGCAGACAGG